GGAGGGUACAGCUCGGUGGUAGAGUGCGUGCCUAGCAAGCAUGAAGGCCUGGGCUCAACUCCCAGCAUCUCCA
rnacentral:tRNA from 1 species